UCUUUGUUAGUAUAUCGGUUAGUACACGCGCUUGUCAUUUUCACGAAGUGUUGUACGCGCGAAAGCUGGGUUCGAUUCCCAGACAGAGAG